GGUCAGGAGCAGCGCAGUAGGUGGGCCGGCCGCUUGUCGGUCUCCUAGCACUGCUGGCCGGUUGCUGUAGAGUUCCGCGCCUUGCCAGAGUUGGGUGCUUCCGGCUGCUCGCCAAGGGGCUGCUCCCUUCUCCCUGCACCGCCGGCCGGGCUCCAGAAUCUCAGAUAUGGACCUUCUUCAGUUCCUGGCAGCCUUCUCUGUCCUCCUGUGGCCUGGCACGGAAGUCACAGGCGCCCUGAAGAGCACUCUGGACCCGAGCCUCAAGAUUUACAAGAAGAUGUUUGAGGUGAAGCGGCGAGAGCAGCUGUUGGCACUGAAGAACCUGGCGCAGCUGAAUGACAUCCACCAGCAGUACAAGAUCCUGGAUGUCAUGCUUAAGGGACUCUUCAAGGUGCUGGAGGACUCCCGCACAGUGCUCAUUGCUGCCGAUGUGCUUCCAGACGGGCCGGUCCCCCAGGAUGAGAAGCUGAAGGAUGGUAUGGUCUCCCCAACACCGCCCUUGGCUCCCUACUCCCUGCUAUUCUCUAGCUGCUCCUUCUAUGUUCUCAUCACUCAUCCCCUCGGCAUAUUCUUGUGUGAUACCUGAGUCAUGGGCCCGGCGUGGAUAAGGGCCCAGCGUGGCUCUCUAAUCAUUUCUAGGUUUCAGAACCAGUUUCUCUGUCCUUAGCAGGUAUUCCUUUCUUUUAUUUUUGGGUUUUUUCUUUCUUUUUUUGGUUUUUUGAGACAGGGUUUCUCUGUGUAGCCCUGGCUGUCCUGGAACUCACUUUGUAGACCAGGCUGGCCUCGGCAGCAGGUAUUUCUUUAUGCUGUCCUGUGCUUGGGCAGGGGAACUAGAGAAGAAGAGUCUCCGCCUGCUACCACUCCAGGGCACAGGGCAGAGCCUGCUAGUCACUUUUUAGGAAGGCAAAUGGGGAUUGUUCCCAUCUGAAGGAGAAGUGACCAGGGCCGAUCAAAUAGCUGAGGCAGAGUGUGAUUACCAGCACUGUUUGCUACUUUAGUAAAGAUCCCAAACUCCUUAAAUCCCUUUUCAGACAAGGCGAGAAAGACAGGUAAGGUGAAGGGCAUGGCCCUCCCGUACUACCUGCAAGAGCUCCAUCUCGGUGCCUCUUCGUGCCUACGAAUGGAUCACAGUUUUGUUUUUUCUCACUAUGUAACCUGUCCUAGAACUUGAUAUGUAGACCAGGGUGGCCUCAUGCAUUGAGACCUGCCUGCCUCUGCUUCCAAGUGCUGGGAUUAAAGGCCUGACCUAACCGAUCAUGGUUUAGCAAUAGUAGUUCUUAGAGUCACUGAGAGGAGGGACCAGAGGGAGAGCUUGUGUGUGAAUAGUGAUGCUUUCUCAUGCCUGAUGGAAGAGAACACAUUAUCUGCCUUGGCUCUUGUUUCUCAAACGAACUGAUUCUUAAGUUCUCUGAGCGUCGGGAUUAUUCUGAAGCCCAGAGCUCCAUCGCCCACAUACCAGCCUGGCAGAUCUUUGGCUUUUGCUUGCCUCCCUGGGCUGUCUGGGUCCUCUCUGCUCUAGGAGUGCAGAUAUAGCUACUCUUCAUUCUUACCUGGGUCUAGGGGACUUGUCACUAGAGUGAACACGCUAACUCCAGUGCAAACUGACCUGUUGACCUCAUUAGAAGAGGGAAAACUGACACAAAAUGCUGAAUAGCUGUAGGUAAGCUAAUGUACUGCUGUUAAUUUCCUGGUUUAGAUAUACUGGUGUAAGAGUGUGGUGUUAGAGGGAGCAGGGUGAGAAAGUUUUAUGUUGUAGCAAAUACAUCUAGAUGAUUUCAAAAUAAGCCAGCAGUGGGGCCACACACUUAUAAUCCUAGCUUUUAGAAAAAAGAACUCGAGGCCAGCUUGAGCUGCAUACUGAGUUUGAGGCUAGCCUGUGGCCUCGUCAAGACUACUGAAAAGAGAGAACAACGCUUAACAAAAGUAAAGCUGGUUGUGGUGCCACGCACCUGUAAUCCCAGCACUUGGGACAUAGAAGCAAGAUCAGGAGUUCACGGCGAUCCUGGGUUCCAUCUUUCUCGCACGUGGUGGAGAACACAGCCUUUUUUGGUGACGUCGUGCUGCGCUUCCCAAAGAUUGUCCACCACUACUUUGACCAUAAUUCCAACUGGAACCUCCUGAUCCGCUGGGGCAUCAGCUUCUGCAACCAGACAGGCGUCUUUGACCAGGGGCCCCACUCACCCAUCCUCAGCCUGAUGGCCCAGGAGCUGGGGAUCACUGAGAAAGAUUCUGACUUCCGGAACCCGUUUAAAACAGACCAGACAGAGUUUAUUCCUAGCACCGACCCUUUCCAGAAGGCUUUGAGGGAAGAAGAAAAACGCCGCAAGAAGGAGGAGAGGCGGAAGGAGAUCCGGAAAGGCCCGAGGAUUUCAAGAUCCCAGUCUGAGUUGUAGCCCUGGACCAGCUAGGGGCCUAAGGAAUCAGCAAUGGCCAGUCAGAAGAGGCAGCAACUGUGUGGCUGUGGAAUAGGCCCAGCAAGCACCUUGCUGAGCACCAGCCACUUCCUGAUGGGAACUGUUUGCUGCGCCCUCAGAAGCCAGGGUUGAGCUCUGGCCAAAAAGACUGAGCUUCCAGGGUCUUGCAGCACACCACAGAAAGGACACUGCUCGGCAGACAGGAUCAUGCAGGGAAGCUGCGGGAGGAGGCUGGCUGAAGGAACUUCUGGCCUGGAUCCCCUUGGUGAGGGCAGGCUGCAGGCCACUGCCGCCCUUGAUAAGGAAGCAACAGAACCAGGCUCUGAGUUACAAGUGAAGGUGCUAUGCUUGCAGCCAGUCUCACUGUGUUCCUGGGCUGCCUGUCACUGGUCCAGCUCUCUGCAGAACAGUACUAAAAGCUAGCAAAUCCACUGGCCUCCCCCAGGCUGGUGAGGAGAAUGUAAGGGGCAGCAGGAACUGCUGCAGAUGUCAGGACCAGCCUGGAGAACGUUUCUGCCUCGGAAAGAGGGAGUCCCUGGCUCUGCAGUGCAGAGAAGCAAGAGCUAGGCUUAGGUCUCUCUCUCUCUCUCUCUCACUCACUGCUGCCCUUCAUGACAGGCCAGUUUCCAGAGGGGACUCAGAAGUGUCCUGAGAGGGUGUUUAUUUCAAGGAGACCUUAAAAGAACAUGAUCUCUAUUCUCAGAUAACUGGGGACAGUCAUUGAGCUGGUUCAGGGGACAAUCAACUUGUUCUCUCUGCUGCUAAAAGAUCCUGUCUAUGGGGGACAGGUUGCAGGAGGCUGUGCUUUGUGAUGGGAUACUGUAGCUGGAUUGACUAGACAGUGGCUCAGAGUCCCGUGGCCACAGAGCAGGAGGCUACAGAGCAGGAAGCUAUGCAAGGAGUUAGGCCUUCAGAAGGCAGCCUGGUUUCUAUGAGUCUCAAGGCAGGUGGCUGCCUUGGUUCUAUUGAAAUUACAGCUCCACCUCUUUGAUCUUGCCAAGCCAAAAUGUAUCGCUUAUAGGAGUGGAGACACCCCAGCCCGACCUCUACCUUCAAGUGCAGGUGUUGCUAACAGUGCUCAAUUGAGACCUGAGUCUUAGCCUGACCUGUCCUGUUCUUUCUCUUCCCUGUGCUGUGCCUUCAUUGGUAAAAUAAAUUUGAUGGUGUCUGAAUCCUCUGACAAGCUCUAAA